AAUAUUGGACAAUGGGGGCAACCCUGAUCCAUCCAUGCUGCGUGUGUGAAGAAGGUCUUCGGAUUGUAAAGCACUCUAAGUUGGGAGGAAGGGCUUUAGGUUAAUACCCUGAAGUCUUGACGUUACCAACAGAAUAAUCACCGGCUCACUCUGUGCCAGCAGCCGCGGUAAUACAGAGGGUGCAAGCGUUAAUCGGAAUUACUGGGCGUAAAGCGCGCGUAGGUGGUUCAGGAAGAUGGGUGUGGAAUCCCCGGGCUUAACCUGGGGACUGCUUUCAUAACUGCUGAGCUAGAGUACGGUAGAGGGUAGUGGAAUUUCCUGUGUAGCGGUGAAAUGCGUAGAUAUAGGAAGGAACACCAGUGGCGAAGGCGACUACCUGGACUGAUACUGACACUGAGGUGCGAAAGCGUGGGGAGGAAAC
rnacentral:rRNA from 1 species